UACGAGGGGUGCAAGCGUUGCUCGGAAUUAUUGGGCGUAAAGGGUAGGUAGGUGGUCUCAUUUGUCCGGGGUGAAAGCUUUGAGCUUAACUCAAGAAGUGCCUCGGAAACGGUGAGACUAGAGUCUUGGAGAGGGUCGUGGAAUUCCCCGGUGUAGCGGUGAAAUGCGUAGAGAUCGGGAGGAACACCGAUGGCGAAGGCAGGUCUCUGGGCUGACACUGACGCUCAUGCACGAAAGCGUGGGGAGCAAACAGG
rnacentral:rRNA from 1 species